UGCUAACUUGUGGAAACAGAGCCUUUCUGGCCACUAAAAUGCAGUGGGGCUGGUGUCUCCUAAGAAAGAAAAUGUCCUAAAUGCUCUGUUCCAUAGAAAAGGAAGACACACAGAGGAACCCUGACUGUAUAAUAAAGCUGAAAUACGUUAGUGCUCAAAACUUGUACUGUGCAGUGGCUGCCCAAUGGCUACAGAAGACAGCAGUAAGCCCAAGCAGAACCAUAAGAAGAUUUCCUCAGGGACCAGGGCUGAUGGAGCAGCACCCACCAUGCGAGCAGAAAGGCAAGCCUUGCAACACUCGGCCUUCAGAGCUUCAGCUUCCCAUCCAUGUGCACCUGGCUGGCCAAAGCAGUCAUAAAGCCACGCCUAAUUCAAGGGAAUCGUGGGGAAGUGCAAUUCCAACAAGUGCCUGGAGGGCAAGCAAGCUGUGGAGUGCCCUGUGAACACUACAAUGUCCUUCUGACCACUACAGCCUCUUUCUAGGUUUUGCUCAUAUCUUUGCAUUAUUUCCAAAAUUCAUUUUAGUGAUAACUUAUAGUAUAGCGUAAUAUAUGUAAUUAUACAGAUAUCAUUAUAUAAAUUAUGAUAUAUAUUAUAACCAGAAGGAAACAAAACCUGGUCUCCCCAUCAAAGGACAUCUCCAGCAUUCAGCCACAUGCUUCUUGCCCAUGGUUCAAGGAGAGCGGCACAUGGCUGCUCUGCCAACCAAUGAAUGAGACUGAGCAUCGCCUCUUCUCCUCACCUUCUCAAGUCCAGUCGAAUCUUGAGCCCAGAAAUUAGAAGAGCCCAACAGCAUAAAAAGACUUUCUGCCACCUGCUUUAUUUGAGGAGGUUAAAAAAAAUUGAUCUUGGCAUCAGAGGAAUACAAGACUCAAAAGGAAAUAAACUGAUCUUUCAGAUUUA